CCUACGGGAGGCAGCAGUGGGGAAUAUUGGACAAUGGGCGAAAGCCUGAUCCAGCAAUGCCGCGUGAGUGAUGAAGGCCUUAGGGUUGUAAAGCUCUUUUACCCGGGAAGAUAAUGACUGUACCGGGAGAAUAAGCCCCGGCUAACUCCGUGCCAGCAGCCGCGGUAAUACGGAGGGGGCUAGCGUUAUUCGGAAUUACUGGGCGUAAAGCGUACGUAGGCGGUGGUUCAAGUCAGAGGUGAAAGCCCGGAGCUCAACUCCGGAACUGCCUUUGAAACUAGAUCGCUAGAACAUCGGAGAGGUAAGUGGAAUUCCGAGUGUAGAGGUGAAAUUCGUAGAUAUUCGGAAGAACACCAGUGGCGAAGGCGGCUUACUGGACGAUUGUUGACGCUGAGGUACGAAAGCGUGGGGAGCAAACAGGAUUAGAUACCCUGGUAGUCCACGCCGUAAACGAUGAUAACUAGCUGUUGGGCCUCAUAGAGGCUCAGUGGCGCAGCUAACGCAUUAAGUUAUCCGCCUGGGGAGUACGGUCGCAAGAUUAAAACUCAAAAUGAAUUGACGG
rnacentral:rRNA from 1 species